GUCGCUUUGGCGGAGUGGUUAACGCGCUGCCCUGCUAUUACGUAAUACGCUAGGCAGUUCUUUCGAGAGCGCAUGUUCGAAUCAUGCAGGCGACG
rfam:Neurospora crassa OR74A linkage group VI, whole genome shotgun sequence.